rnacentral:tRNA from 1 species
GAUAAGAUCAGCUAACUUAAGCUAUUGGGCCCAUACCCCAAAAAUGAAAGUUAAAAUCUUUCUCUUAUGA